rnacentral:tRNA from 1 species
GCCGCUCUGGCCCAACUGGCAGAGGCGUCCGGUUCAGGACCGGGAGGUUCAGGGUUCGAAUCCCUGGGGCGGCA